GAGAGAGAAAAAAGGUUUGACGAUUAGGAAACGAGAAAGCGAGACAAAGGUUCAGUGACAAACCCAAGGUUACAAAGCGCGUUCAGUCUUCUCUUUACCAAAAUCACUACUCUCUAUCCCAAUCUAAACUAAAGAAUUUCUAAUCAAUUGAUAAAACGCCAAACAAUUGCUGAUAGAGAUCAAUAAUGGAUUCUCUCAAUUCACAGCAACUAUCGAAGGUUUGAUUUGAUACCCUCUCUCUCUUUUAUCUGUCGUCGAAGACAAAAUCCUUUCUGGGUUUGCCUCUGAUUUGUGUUUCCAAUCGAUGGCCACUGUUAUUAAGAUCUGUGGAUUUACAUGCUAUAAAAUCGUGAUAUAGUUUGGUGGGUACUGGCUAUUUCUAGGGUUUUCGCUUUCGAGUUGCUGGAAAAUUGUUCCUGCUGCUUAAUUCUGAUGUAUCAAAUUCAACUUGAUCAAAUACUAAAGGAUAGAUAUAUAUAGAAAGAGAGCGAGAGAUUGCAUAAUCAAUAGAAUAAGCUGUCUUCCUGGUAACGAAGAAAGAUGCAAUCUAGAAGGCAUGAUGACUACGUGACACUAUCUCCAUCUUCAAAGCUACAUAAUCAACGUAGAUGUGAAGUAGGACAUGACUCUUUUUCAGUAUCUCGCCGAGAUUUCGUGGAUCGGUCUCCUCGCCUGCAGAGGAGUUUAAGUCCUCAUACUAAGAUUGAUGGGUCUAGAAGGGUAUUAAUAAGGCAAGGAAGAAGCGGUUCAACUGAAAGGAGGGAGUACAGUUGGCAUCUAGGUGCUAGCAUGGCUGAAAAGGUCCUCUCUGGUUCGCCCCCUUCUGUACAAAAGCACAGAAAGCCUCACUUUGAUGAGGUUGCUGCACGUAGCAAAUAUGAAUAUGCUGAUGAUUUCAAUUAUGGAGACAGUAAAAGUAAUAGACUAAAGCAUGUUAAUGGGUAUGAUCAUGUUGCUUCUUCUAGAAUUUGUAAAGAGAACGAUUUUAGUGAAAACAGGUUUCCGGGUAAUGAUGGGCAUGCGAUAAUGGGGCAGAAGUUGGUGCCCAUGGAAGGUGGAAUUAUAAGAGGGUUGCAUCAUGGACCUCCAGAUUUCAUUCCUGCCCCAAGUUAUGGGAAAACUGGUGAGCGUCUACAGUUGCAAUCCCGGCAAAUGGAUAUGAACCAGUUUGAGAAUGAGAAACUUGGGUAUCUGCAGCCUAUAUCCCCAGAUAAGAUACCACUAAUGGGAUUACACAAAGGGGAAAAACCUAUGUUUUGCUUGAGGGAGAAUUCAUACACAACAAACCCAGCUUAUCUCUCUAAGGGUUUUGGGACCUCUAAUUUCAAAGAUUUUGCUGGCACAUCUUCAGGUGUCUCAAGGGGUGCGUUUCCGAGUUCUUACAGGGAAGGUGUGCCCCUGUCUGCUUCUGAUGAAUAUCCAAGGAACAUUAUGAAACUCACAGAACCUGUGGAUUUAAGCACAAAUGGUCAAAGGUCAGCUGUAGAUUUAAGAAAUGUAGAAACUGGUAAGAGAAUUCUGACAAGUUAUCCUUAUGUUGCCCCUAGCCCAAACAGAACAGAACAUGAUGAUUACCUUUACCCUAAAUCACAGGGAUUAGUGAAUGAAGACAUUGCCUAUCCAUCUGAUGAAUUCUACAAAAGGAUGCCACCAUGCACUCAGUUAGAUCAUGAGCUAGCUCGAGCAGAUUUUGAGUAUGGAGAAUUGUCAAGAAUGAGUAUUAUGUGCCCUAUCGAAGAAAAGACUGAUCCAAUGCCAGAUUCAUACAGAAAAAGGAAAAAUAACAGUACAUGGGACCAUGCUAUACGCAAGCAGGCAGCUAUGGGGGGCCUUGGCACAAGUAGAAUAUCAUAUGCACCAAAGCAUAGUGGGGAAUAUUUGGGUUCUGAAUAUUCUCGAGUUGAAUUUGGAAGGAGAGUCUCACAAGAUAGCGAAGUAUCUCAUUUGGAUGUAACACAGGAUCAACAAACCUCACAUUUGAGAUCAAAUUAUGGAUUUGGAAGAGAUGCAGGUCCUCAGUUUGAAAAAGAAAGAUUAGUGGAUCCUGUUAUGUCCAUGUAUGACUUGCAUGUGCAGAAAUUUUCUGUCAAAAGGCAGAGAAUGGAGGAGCUUGCCAUAUAUGAACCAUCUAAUAAAUUGCUCAAAAGAAAUUACAGUGUGAAGGAAGAUUUAAAUAGUUGUGAUCCAAGAGCCAUUGUGUCAAGCAAACGGUAUGCAUCUCUAGAAUACAAGGAUGCAUAUGACAGUGGUGAGGAAUGGAUUGAGGAAAAUCUAAGUUCUUUACAUCCAUCUAGGACUCAGAGGUUUGACCACAAUGCAUACAGAAAGGCUAAGAGGACAUAUGAUGGGCAAGACCAUGAUGGAGAUUUUGCCUCUGAAGACUGGUUGUCUUCUCAAGAUUCUUUGGCGCAUUCACGAAAGCAAUCUAUUAGAUAUUAUAAACCAAGUGUUAAAUAUAUGAAGGGUCAUCCAAAAUCUGGUUCUUUAAGCUGGUAUAACUCACAUCAGACUGAUAAAAGAAGUGGAAUUUACAGAAAGCACAAAACUUGGAAAAGAAAUGAAGAAUAUGAUGAGGCUGAACGGGCAAAUGAUGAUGAUCCAUCAGAAGAUUGGGUGAAUAUGGCAGACUCUGAGCCAUGUGAGGAUUCUGUGGAAUUUAAGCAACUGGUUCAUCAAGCCUUUUUAGAUUAUUCUAAGAAAUUGAAUUUGAGCUUGGCGGUUCGAAGAAGAUACAAGGAGCAAGGAAAAGCUGGUAGUUUGUUCUGCAUUGUAUGUGGCAGAAGGUCUGUUUUCUCUCCUGUGUGUACCCUUUAAAAGUGGAACACAUUUUCAUAUUUAAUUCUGGAGUUCCUAGUUAUACUCUUACAGUAGCUAACAGGUGAGUAAUUAUUAACUUAGAAAUUUGUUGGUCGAGUUCCAUAUGGAUUCUAUUACGGCUACUUAUGUUCGUGGAUUUCAUGGUGGGUUCUGGUAUCAAUCAUGCAAGGUGGAGCAAGAGCUUUUGGUGAAUUCCAAGUUACAUAUAAAUGACAUAUUGAUGAAACUUUCAAGUGCUUUUAUGACAUAAAUUAUGCUUCAAAUGACACAUGAUUUUCUUUAUCCAUCUUCUAUUGUAAUUUUUAUUGUUGGAAUAUAACUAUCACUUAGUGAGAGGUCGCUGAUCUGGUGAUUUGGGUUUACAGUUUCAUUCCUAAUGUAGCUAUGAAUAAUUAUAUAUAGAUUUCAUGGAGCAAGUUUUAAUCUAUAGAGUUAUUUUAACCAAUCUGCAUUGGAAUUAGGUCCCUUGUUCUUCAAGACUAUCUUGUAGUAAACUUGUGAAUCCUUUUGAAAAGAGAUAUCUGCCUUGUGUAGGUUAAUUGUUGUGGCUUUUGAGUAGCGGGAGCCUUUGAUGGAGUUUGAGUUCCAUAACAUUUGAACUACUAAUGGGAUUAUAUUAUAGCUAGUACAUUUUUGUUGCUGGGAUGUCAUUGUGCAGCUAGGAGAAGUGAAGGACAAAAGUUAGACUGGAUGUUUGGGGUGGGUAUAUUACACAAUGGGACUAUUGUUGUGGACAGGUUAGAAAGCUAUUAUUAAGGUAGCAGUUCAAUCCAAGAUCCUGCAUUAUAUUAGAUAGCAGUUGAAUUUGAUUCCCUUUUUUUUGGUCUUGAAAUGCUGUGUUUUUCAUCAUGAUCUGAACAUAUAUUUAUGUGGACUUGAUGAACAUAUGACAAUUUUUAUAGUUUAAUAUUGAUAGCACUGAUAAAGCUUCCUUCCUUACUUGUCUAGAUGGAUGUGGUGAUUUUUUAUCAAUUUACUUUUACUGUUAAUGAUUAUAGGUUUUGCUCCAUUUUUAAAUGUUUGUAUGUGUGUACUUUUACAGCUCAUCAAGGGAUUUCAUGGACACUCAACGCUUGGUAACACAUGCUUUCAUGUCUUACAAGUAUGGGUUGAGAGCCCAGCACCUGGGUCUUCAUAAAGCAAUAUGCGUUUUGAUGGGGUGGAAUACUUAUGUGUCUUGUGAUACGAGAACUUGGGUUCCAGAUGUCUUGCCUGAGGCAGAAGCUUGGGCUCAGAAGGAGGAUCUGGUUAUCUGGCCUCCACUUGUUAUCAUCCACAAUAUCUCUAUGUCAAAUGUCAAUCCAGAUCAACAGAAGGUUGUGCCUAUUGAAGGGGUAGAAGCUUUUCUUAGAGGUUAGUAACAACUUUUUUUGGUAUAUUGGAAAUUCAGGUGAGUAACUUCAACGAUCAAUUAUUUAAUAUACUUGUGCCAAAAUUGGUAUUUGAGUAGAAAUUGCAUGUAAAAGCAUUCUUUCUAAGUUGGAAAAAUAUUAUAAAUUUAGUCAUUGAACAUGAGGAGAAUAUAAAAAGCAUAUAUGUUUGAAAUCUUUGUUCAGUUUUUGUAUCAGUGGCAGUAUUUAGGAUGCUUAAAAUUGGAUUUGUAAAUAUGUGAAUUUUUGGCUCAACAAUGAGGCUUUACUAAAAUUUUCUUGCAUCAUCGCUAAUCUAUCCUAAUAUCUGUGGUUCUCUUGAUGAUGAUAGGUAAAGGUUUUGUUGGGGGAAAAAUCAAGGUAUGCCUAGGUAAACCUGCUGACCAAAGUGUUAUGUUGAUAAAGUUUUUGGGCACCUUCACUGGACUUGGAAAUGCAGAGAGACUUCAUGAAUAUUUUGCUGAGAAAAAACGCGGGAGAGAAGAAUUUGAACGCAAAACAUCCAAUGCUAACAAAAGCAGCAAUGGUUUUGAAGCAGAAAUACAGGGAGACAUGUUGGAGGAUCGCCUACUAUAUGGAUACAUGGGGGUUGUGGAUGACUUGGACAAACUUGAUUUUAAUACCAAGAAGUGGAUCUCGGUGAAGAGCAAGAAGGAUAUUCAAGAUCUGGAGAAUGAUCCUGUUAAAACUGAUGAUAGAUAGCCAUCUCAAUAUUGCAAUUAAGGGAGCGAAGAGGGCUCUGCCCUGCUCCAUCCAGGCACUAAAAUUUCCAAGGAUCCCCUGCUCCACCUCCUUCAGGUUGGAAUACUGGCUCUGCCAGCCAUUGACAGUUACUAAUUUGUAAGUCAUGGAAGUAACACAUGCUACGGAUCAAGGAAGAUGGAGAAAAGCAUUUGGUGAUUAAGCUUAAAAUUUUGUGCAAGAUUUUGCUUUAUCUUUUUCGCACUGGGCAUUUUAGCCAGAUAGUACAUGAAGCUAUGUACACAGAUUUAAAUUCCAAGUAUCUCUUAUGAUCUUAGCUUACAAAUGUAACAUGUGUUAUUACCCACUCGGUGCUCUACCUCUCUC
rnacentral:misc_RNA from 1 species